rnacentral:rRNA from 1 species
AGAGUUUGAUCCUGGCUCAGAAUGAACGUUGGCGGCGUGGAUUAGACAUGCAAGUCGUACGCACAGCAAUGUGAGUGGCGCAAGGGUGAGUAAUGCGAAGGUAACCAACCCUGGAGUUGGGCAUAGCCGCGGGAAACUGCGGGUAAUUCCCAGCGAUGUUACGAGGUGGCAUCAUCUUGUAACCAAAGGUGUGAUUCCGCUCUGGGACGGGCCUUCGUGGUAUUAGCUAGUUGGUAAGGUAACGGCUUACCAAGGCUACGAUGCCUACCGGGUGUGAGAGCAUGACCCGGCACACUGGAACUGAGACACUGUCCAGACACCUACGGGUGGCUGCAGUCGAGAAUCUUCGGCAAUGGGCGAAAGCCUGACCGAGCGACGCCGCGUGAGGGAUGAAGGCCUUCGGGUUGUAAACCUCUUUCGUAGAGGAGGAAGGGGCUGUGAAGAGCAGUCCUUGACCUAUUCUAGGAAGAAGCUUGGGCUAAGUUCGUGCCAGCAGCCGCGGUAAGACGAACCAAGCGAACGUUAUUCGGAAUUACUGGGCUUAAAGCGCGUGUAGGCGGAUGGCCACGUCGGUUGUUGAAAUCCCCCGGCUUAACCGGGGAACAGGCACCGAUACGAGUUAUCUGGAGGUGGGUAGGGGAGACUGGAACUUCCGGUGGAGCGGUGAAAUGCGUUGAGAUCGGAAGGAACGCCUGCGGCGAAAGCGAGUCUCUGGCCCCAUACUGAC